UGGGGAAUUUUGGACAAUGGGGGAAACCCUGAUCCAGCCAUCCCGCGUGUGCGAUGAAGGCCUUCGGGUUGUAAAGCACUUUUGGCAGGAAAGAAACGACAUGGGUUAAUACCCCGUGAAACUGACGGUACCUGCAGAAUAAGCACCGGCUAACUACGUGCCAGCAGCCGCGGUAAUACGUAGGGUGCAAGCGUUAAUCGGAAUUACUGGGCGUAAAGCGUGCGCAGGCGGUUCGGAAAGAAAGAUGUGAAAUCCCAGAGCUCAACUUUGGAACUGCUUUUUUAACUACCGGGGUAGUGUGUAGCAGAGGGAGGUGGAAUUCCUCGUGUAGCAGUGAAAUGCGUAGGUAUGGGGAGGAACACCGAUGGCGAAGGCAGCCUCCUGGGAUAACACUGACGCUCAUGCACGGAAGCGUGGGGAGCAAACAGG
rnacentral:rRNA from 1 species